rnacentral:rRNA from 1 species
AUUGAACGCUGGCGGCAUGCUUUACACAUGCAAGUCGAACGGUAACAGGCCGCUUGGUGCUGACGAGUGGCGAACGGGUGAGUAAUGCACCGGAACGUGCCCCGUCGUGGGGGGUAACUCGUCGGAAGAGUAGCUAAUACCGCAUACGAUCUAUGGAUGAGAGCGGGGGACCGUAAGGCCUCGCGCGCUUGGAGCGGCCGAUGUCGGAUUAGGUAGUUGGUGGGGUAAAGGCUCACCAAGACAACGAUCUGUAUCUGGUCUGAGAGGACAACCAGCCACACUGGGACUGAGACACGGCCCAGACUCCUACGGGAGGCAGCAGUGGGGAAUUUUGGACAAUGGGCGCAAGCCUGAUCCAGCAAUGCCGCGUGCAGGAAGAAGGCCUUCGGGUUGUAAACUGCUUUUGUACGGAACGAAACGGCUCUGGUUAAUACCCGGGGCUAAUGACGGUACCGUAAGAAUAAGCACCGGCUAACUACGUG